AAGGAAACAUCAUGGAGUCGAACAAUUUCAUCGACAUAAAGGCGGACUAAUAUGUUGGUGGAGUCAGUGGUCCUGAUGGGCAAGAAAUAGACAAUUUUAGUUAGUCUGUUAACGAUGACCUAAAUAGCAUUACGACCAGAAUAUGUCUUGGGUAGGCUUGUGAUAAAAUCUCCCACUUUCAUUCCGCAAUCGAGAGGCCCUG
rnacentral:lncRNA from 1 species